AGGGAUAUAGCUCAGUGGCAGAGAACUUGCCUGACAAGCAUGAGGCUCUGGGUUUGAUCCCAGCACUG
rnacentral:tRNA from 1 species